AGGAAUAGUCCCAAAAUUUCAAUAUCUUCUACAAAUUAGCCGGAUUGACUUGAAGUGAAGUGGGUAGAUCGGAUCAACACAACAAAGCACACUAUCCAGAUCAAUUCCGGUAGCUUUUGUUUUAUGUUUGAAGAUUUAUAUGGCAUGUAUAGAGUUUGAAUGAAUUGAAGUAAAGAUGUUAUAAACUAGUUAACAAUAUUUGUACUAAAAUAGUUUUCGGUAAGUAGCAGUAGUUUGACUUUGAAAAAUCACUAAAAAUAGUAGAAAUGGAAUUAAAUAAUGAAUAAAUUAUGGAAUCGAA